rnacentral:lncRNA from 1 species
CCCUAGCUGGUCUGAGAGUUUCUCAGGAGCCCAGGUCCCUCCGCGCCACAGCUGGGGAGAACGUGACCCUGAGCUGCACCUUCCAGAACAGAAACGGCAGCAGAGCCAAGGUCAUUUGGCUCAGGGGAUCCGGAGAGGAUCUGGAGCUGGAUUCUAACCAUCCCUUCUACCGCGGGCGGCUCCGUGUGUCCAGGAUGGACGAGCACAGACAGGGGAAGGCGACGCUGACCCUGGCUGAGCUGCAGGAGCGGGACUCUGGCCUCUAUCAGUGCUGCAUCAAACUCGACCGUGGGGAGACAGGGAUGGGAGGAGGCACCGAGCUGAGAGUGAUGGGGAGACACCAGAGUGCGUCCGGUGAGAGUCGGGGGCAGGGAAUGGGGCCUGUCCCCUCUAGGAGGUGUCAUCCCAGGAAUCUCCUAACCCCUCACUUCUCUUGUCUAUGGGGUCUAGGGGGACGUGAGCUCUGUCGGGACUCGGGGCCCCUCUUUUACCGAGCCGUCAUCUCCCUGGCGCUCGUCGUUCUCUUCUCCCUGGGAAUCGUCCUCAGCCUGCACCCUUGGAAAGGCGUCCCCGUGGAUCCCAUGGUGGGUGCUGGCUCCAAGGUGCCCCCGGCACCGGGACAGGUGUCUCUGAUUUAGCUGCUCAGGGGGCCGGUCACUGGCAGGAUUUUCCCAGCUCUGGUUCAGAAGCUGUCAGACUUCGCUGGACUCUGAGCCACCGCCAGGGGCUUCUCUGCUCUCCUCUGCUUCUGUCUGUGGGUCUGGCCGGUACAGCUUGGGUAUGAGAAGAACAGUAAAGAAAAGGAAAUAUUUCUCCAGAGUCAUUCCUCAGGGGACGAUAUUUUUCCAUUUAGAAAUCAACAUUGAACACUGUAACAGAGUCAGCCACCAGAAAACCCGAAUUCGAGAGAAAACCUACCUGGUUUGUACAGGACAAAACUGUCUGGAGCAGGCUUGAUUGGUUAGAAGGAAUUUGCCGCUUGAAAGAGAGACAUGUUGCAAAAAAUAAAUAUAUUUCAAUGUGUGGAAAUAA